GUUAGCUUGAGGGAAAGGCCUUUGUUUGGUCUUCAUUCAUUUUUGAUUCCCUCGUUAGUGCCACUCUGGUCAGGUCAUCUGGUGAGGAACCUCAAGACAGGGGAAGUUGCAAUUCCCCCAAUACCACACAGGUAGUAACCAUCAGCAUUGAGACUAGAACCCAGGUCCUUUGAAAGUCAGCCAUCUUUCCAUUGUCGAGAACCUUUGUACCUUACUACCUGUCCUGAGCCUGCUGCAGAUGGAUGCUAAGAGUCAAACUGGUCCAGAGAGCCCCCGAAUAGUCACUUCACAAGAUGGAUAAUCAUGGGAGAUUGAGGGCAAAUUUAACUUCAUUCAUUCAUUGGUGCAUUCAUUCAGUACACUAGCAUUCUCCCCUAUUCUGUGCAAAGCCCAGGUGAA
rnacentral:lncRNA from 1 species